rnacentral:rRNA from 1 species
GUAGUCUCGCACAGAUGCAUAUCAAUAAGCGGAGGAAAAGAAACUAACAAGGAUUCCCUCAGUAACGGCGAGUGAAGCGGGAAGAGCUCAAAUUUGAAAUCUUGAAAGGUCACCUUUCACGAAUUGUAGUUUAAAGAAGUGUUUUCUGUUACGAUCGUAAUAUAAGUUCUUUGGAAUAGGACAUCACAGAGGGUGAGAAUCCCGUCUAUGAUUGCGAUUUGUAGCUUUGUGAUACACUUUCAAAGAGUCGGGUUGUUUGGGAAUGCAGCCCAAAACGGGAGGUAAAUUUCUUCUAAGGCUAAAUAUUGGCGAGAGACCGAUAGCGAACAAGUACCGUGAGGGAAAGAUGAAAAGAACUUUGAAAAGAGAGUUAAACAGUACGUGAAAUUGUCAAAAGGGAAGCGUUUGACACCAGUGUUGUUUUCUCGAAAAUCAAUUAAAAAGAGUUAGAUUUUGUUGUGUAUUGACCUUAACAGCUUGCAUUUCAAUUUUCUUGCUUUUUUUAAUGCACUUUUCGUUUAACAAGUCAACAUCAGUUUCUUUUGUUGUAAAAAGGUCAUUGGAAGGUGGCUUUCUUUUCGGAGAAAGUGUUUAUAGCCUUUGACUCCUGCAAUCGGAGAGACUGAGGUCUGCAGCGUAGAUCCUUCGGGGUUAGAUACAUUUGUGCUAAGUUAUAGCUUUUUAUAGACAACUUGUUGACUAUGAUUAGUCUUGUAGCUUACUCGCUUAUGCUAUUUUACCUACGCUUAGGAUGUUGAAGAUGUAGCACAUCAU